GCAGUAGGGAAUCUUCCGCAAUGGACGAAAGUCUGACGGAGCAACGCCGCGUGAGUGAUGAAGGUUUUYGGAUYGUAAARCUCUGUUGUUAGGGAAGAACAAGUACCGUUYGAAUAGGGCGGUACCUUGACGGUACCUAACCAGAAAGCCACGGCUAACUACGUGCCAGCAGCCGCGGUAAUACGUAGGUGGCMMSCSYYSUCCGGAAUUAUUGGGCGUAAAGSGCKCGCAGGCGGUUUYUUAAGUCUGAUGUGAAAGCCCCCGGCUCAACCGGGGAGGGUCAUUGGAAACUGGGGAACUUGAGUGCAGAAGAGGAGAGUGGAAUUCCACGUGUAGCGGUGAAAUGCGUAGAGAUGUGGAGGAACACCAGUGGCGAAGGCGACUCUCUGGUCUGUAACUGACGCUGAGGMGCGAAAGCGUGGGGAGCGAACAGGAUUAGAUMCCCUGGUAGUCCACGCCGUAAACGAUGAGUGCUAAGUGUUAGGGGGUUUCCGCCCYUUAGUGCUGCAGCWAACGCAUUAAGCACUCCGCCYGGGGAGUACGGUCGCAAGACUGAAACUCAAAGGAAUUGACGGGGGCCCGCACAAGCGGUGGAGCAUGUGGUUUAAUUYGAAGCAACGCGAAGAACCUUMCCAGGUCUUGAC
rnacentral:rRNA from 1 species